rnacentral:lncRNA from 1 species
GUUAUGUGUCCCUUGGAAAAAUCUGUCUCACGUCUUUUUCCAGCCAGUUCCUCAGGUCUGUGGUCUCCUUAGAGCUUUCCAUUUAAGCAACAAAUGGAGUGCAGUACAAUAGAAACGGGGCUGAAACGAGUGGAUCUAUAAACUAAUUGCAAAACAUAUCAUGUUGCUUCUUGGAUGAAGAGUGGGAUGAACAGCAGCAGAAGUGGAAUGCCCUGCCCCUUCCAAACGCUGUUGUACUGGCAUGGAAAAGGCAGGGAGCCUUGCACCAUCCCUGCACACUUGCACUUUUACUGGGUGCAAAGAAGGUGUCCCUCAGGAGCAUCAGGAUCUUAUCUGUGAUAAGCACAGAAAGCAGAAGUUCUGGGAAUGGGGAGAGAUUGUCUUCUGUCCUACCUAUGAAUUAAUAACUACAUCUGCUGGCCACAUGGGUUGGAAUGAAGCUAUUUCACACUUCUUUUUCAGACAUGCCACUGGAAAAAAUAAGCCAAUUUACAGCCUUGGUAAACCAAGAUCAGCAUUCCAGAGUGAUCUCCGAGCACCUCCUAUUCUUGCAGCACGGAUGCUUAGGGGAUACUGGUGCCCUCUGAGGAGGAGGCACAGCAGGAAGGGGCACUUUCCCCAAGAAAAGCUUGGGCUUUGGCCAUGGGAGGGGCACUGGCUUCAGAAGACACGCAGGGACAUCCACAGGAGCAUUGACUCAGCUCAGGUCAUCGAUCCUCACCCAAUAGAGACAGAUGCACUGCUUCAGAAUGAAAGAGAGCCACGUUCUGAAUAGCAGCACUUUCUACUGCUUUUUCCCUUUGCCUGUGUGUGCCAGCCGGGCUCCAUGCAGAGUAACUCUUUUUAGCUGACAAGAGUCAGCGUGAUCUCAGUGCAAAGCGACACGUUUGCCAUCUGCAGAAAGCCAUGGGUUAAAGCACAACUGACCUUCAAACCUCGCCAGCAUUCUCAGUGCUCUGCUGAAGCUAAAUGCUAGGCUAAUUUAUGAAUGGGACAACUCAUCAGCAGAAUUGUAAUGAAUAGACGGCGCGCCCAUUCAUUAUUUUUCCAUCUCUAAGUGUUCAUAAACAGCCCAGUGAUAAUUAACAGAAAUUCUGCCUUUAUAGAAAAGUGACACUUCAUAAAUACCGAAUGGUGCUACUGUCGUACAUACACACUGGGUUUCCGUGGAUGUAUAAAUUCAGCAAUUACCUCUGGAAAAGUAGCUUAGUAAAGAAGAGGAAAGUCAUAGAGCAAUUAAAAUCCGAGAAACAAACAGAACGUCCUCCUGAUUCAAACAUUCAAUGACAGUAAACAGGGCAAUGCAAUCAGGAAGAAAGGCCCUGCCCUAAUCAGUGAAGGUGAUUUUUCACAUAGCUUGAGAUGUAGCUCUGUGAGGGAUGCUCGAACCCACCUGCAAUCAGCUGAGGGAGGCUUUGAGACGCUCGGCAUCAGGAAUUUAUGCCUGCGGAAGCAGAGCCUCGAGUCACACGACUAUAUCAGAAGGUCAGCUCUCUUUUACAGAACAAACAGGAGCCCUCAAAUUUUCCAGCCUUCCUAGAAAAUUACCCUGCAAAAGAUGAACUGACCUUUACCAGCGCUGGGCUUCACACGUAGCUGAGAGAGGUGUGAGCUGCUGCUUUCAUCUCAAUGAGAUGUUAAUUCCGAUUCCCUGUUUCUCGGGGGAAAUGCCAGGUCCCACCACGGGGGGUGGCUGUGGGAGUUGGGUGGAUGUAGCGAGUGGGACAUUUCUGGGCACUUAGGGUACUGCUGUGACAGGAGAAGGGUGCCAGGAUGCUACUGCUGGGAAGGAGAAUUUUCCUCUAAGUGCUGAUGAGCUGUGGGGCAGCUGGGAAAGAGAUUGUGGAUGUCACCUUGGCUCAUCUCUGGAAAACUGAGUAAAAAUAGAGUCAGCUGGAUAUUCAGCAUAGGAUUCUAGAGGAAAUUGGACAGUACAAAAAGCGAUGCUGACCUCAGCUCUGUUAGUGUGGGUGCACUAACAUUUCUGGAG